rnacentral:rRNA from 1 species
UACCAGCUCUCCGAGUUGUAGGGAUGAUUAUUGGGCUUAAAGCGUCCGUAGCUGGCUUAGCAAGUCUCCUGUUAAACUCAGCGACCUAAUCGUUGAGCCGCGGGAGAUACUACUAGGCUAGGGAGGCGGGAGAGGUCGAUGGUACUUUCGGGGUAGGGGUGAAAUCCUAUAAUCCCGGGAGGACCACCAGUGGCGAAGGCUGUCGACUAGAACGCGCUCGACGGUGAGGGACGAAAGCUGGGGGAGCGAACCGGAUUAGAUACCCGGGUAGUCCCAGCUGUAAACUAUGCGGGCUAGGUGUUGGGGUGGCUACGGGCCACUUCAGUGCCGCAGGAAAGCCAUUAAGCCCGCCGCCUGGGGAGUACGGCCGCAAGGCUGAAACUUAAAGGGAAUUGGCGGGGGAGCACCACAAGGCGUGAAGCUUGCGGUUC